rnacentral:rRNA from 1 species
UACGGGAGGCAGCAGUGGGGAAUAUUGCACAAUGGGCGAAAGCCUGAUGCAGCUAUGCCGCGUGUAUGAAGAAGGCCUUAGGGUUGUAAAGUACUUUCAUCGGGGAGGAAAAAACAAAACUAAUAAUUUUAUUUCUUGACGUUACCCGAAAAAGAAGCACCGGCUAACUCCGUGCCAGCAGCCGCGGUAAUACGGAGGGUGCUAGCGUUAAUCAGAAUUACUGGGCGUAAAGAGCACGUAGGUGGUUUUUUAAGUCAGAUGUGAAAUCCCUGGGCUUAACCUAGGAACUGCAUUUUGAAACUGAAAUACUAGAGUAUCGUAGAGGGAGGUAGAAUUCUAGGUGUAGCGGUGAAAUGCGUAGAUAUCUGGAGGAAUACCUGUGGCGAAAGCGGCCUCCUAAACGAAUACUGACACUGAGGUGCGAAAGCGUGGGGAGCGAAACAGGGAUUAGAUACC